GCUGCCAAAGCAGGAGGGACCCUCCCCCCCGCCCCCCCACCCCAAAUCUGUUUGGGAUGUUGGACUGAUGACACCACAUACAAUCCAUGAGAGUCUGAAAUGAUUUGUUACUUACAUCACUGAGGUGUAGUGGAGAGCAGGGGCCUCCUCUCAAGCAGACUGAAAUGGCUGGUGAGUGAGGGCAGGGGCCUGGCUUGAGUUUUUAUUGUUAGGGGUUGAGCCUGGGUGAAGGUUCCUGAGUGCUUGUGGUGGUCUGCAUCUCCCACAGGCACCAAAGAAGGGGCUUUGUUAUCAGCUUGUUCAAAUAUGGGCACAAGGGACAGAGGGAGAUGGGAGAGGCUUAAAAGCUGUCCGCCAACAACGAUCAACACUGGAGUUCGACUUCUCAGUACAGUGGCCAGUCCACUUCCUCACCUGAAACAAAGCUUUUCUUUCCCUUGAAUUCUGAAGCAAAUCGCUAAUGGGAGAAUACUGUGGCCCCCACUUAGGAGCCUCAGGGGAUACAGUCCAAGACCCUCCCAGUGGAUGCCUGAAACUGUAGAAAGUACAUAUUGUUCUAUGUUUUUUUUCCCUAUGCAUUCAUACUUAUAGUAAUGUUUAAUUUUUAAGUUAGGCAGAGUAAGAGAUCAAUAGCAAUAACUAAUAAUAAAACACAACAAUUAUAACAAUAUGAUAUAAUAAAAGUUAUUUGAAUGUGGUCUCUCUCUUAAAAUAUUAUAUGGUGCUGUACUCAACCUUCUUCCUGUGAUGAUGUGAGAUGAUAAAAUGCCUGCAUGAUGAGAUGAAGUGAGGUAAAUGAUCUAGGUAGGCACUGUGACAUCGUGUGAGGCUGUUGUGACUUUCUGUUAUGUCAGGAAGACCAUCUGCUUCCAGACUGCGGUUAACCGCGAGAGACUAAAACCUCAGAAAGCAAAACCAUGGAUAAGGAGGGACUACUGUAUAGGCAGAGAAGCGACACAUGACAACAGACAAUGUUCUUCACCUCAGCAUGAUUUUCAUAACAGAUGCACGGAUGGAUUUCCCUUCUUGUAAAACUGCAGCUCAGGGAAAGCAAGUCUAUGAGCGACUUAAAUAUAAUUCACAGAGGUUGAAGGAUAAAGUAAGAGGAGAUAAAUGAUAUGGCCUGGAAGAGACAUACACUACUAUGAGACAGAUGCCACCCCCAUUGGCGGUUGUGUAUCACUUCCUGAAUACAUCAUUCUGAUGCAGUACUUGGAAACAGGCUUCAAGGCUGCAAAUCAUAGACUGAGGGACAAAUAGUGCUUCUCUUUGAGGCAAGCUAAUCAUUUGAUGAGCUAAUCAUCUAUAUCUCCAGCACUGUGCACAUUCCUAGUGUCAAAGGAAUAAAAGGAACUUAGAGCUGGAAAGAGGUGACAGCUAACUGGUUUCAUCUACUUUGAUUUGUGUUAUGCAGCAGAAUUUUUGGAUGCCAGAUGUCUAAAACACAUAGGUUAAAAGCAGGUCAGUUUCAACUCAAGACUAUCAUUUUACAGUUUAGUGAAUAUAUUUACAAAUUCCAUAGUAACAAGCCUGUUGACACUGGCACAGUGAAAUUAUUAUCCUCAACAAAUAAUCCAGUACAAAAGUGUUUUCUUCAGACCCUGUGUGCCUAUCAGUCACUGAUGAGAGCCCAGCACCUGACGAUAGGGCUUAUGAAAGUUUGAAGUGGAGGAAGAGGAGCUGUAGCUUGGGGCUCUUGUUAAUGACUCCCGCGUCCUCACUCUGCAGCCAAGCCUGGCAAAGUCCACAAGAAACAGCAGGGCUUAAAUAGCUCACUGCUAGUCCUAGCAGGGUUCUUGUCAGUCAGAUAUAUUCACUGCAUACCUAUUGUGUGCAGAACGUAGCGUUUCACUUGCCAAUUCAGCACUGAGAGGUUGGUUUAGCCCUUUUUAUCUUUAUGACCUGCAGACUGGUAACAGCAUUUCUAGCAGUGUGUUCAUUUUAACAAUAAUUUAUUCCAAUAAAACAAGGUGGAUGUUCCCUAGAUAUGGACACCAUAUGCCCUGAAUUUUCUGGGCUAAUCUUGAUUUCAUGUAAUUUUAUUUUCAUUACAAUAAAGGCAAUUAGUGAAAUACAUAAUGAAAUGUGAUUUCAAUUUUUUAUAUUAUUCUGAGACUUCAUAUAAUGAAUUGGCAUAUCAGGAAAAAAAUAUUUUGCUAGAUUACAUGUAUGGAUUUCUUUGGAAAAUGUGGUUACUGGGUAGGUCAUGGUGAUCCUUAUUUUUACUUCUUGAACAAAAACCAUGCUCUUUCAGGAGGGUGUUCUAGCACCUAUGUAAACCUUUGGCUCCACUGAUGACUUCCCAGCUCUUCCGUUUCCCCUUCAAGGAACAUUAAAGGCUGUAUUCUGAUAUAGCCAUGGAUCUUAACAUCUGUUAAGAAAUUUUAGGUUUCAAGUAAUAGAGACACCAGCUUAAACUGACAUAAAAAUACGGGAGAUUUAUUAGGUCAUAUACUUGAAAAGGUAAGUCAGGGCUGGCUGUAAUUGAGGCUUAACUUGGAAACUCAUAUAAUGUUGUCCAGGACUGGUUUUGUCUCAAGUUUCCCUGUCCUUUGUGUUGACUUCAUCCUCAGAUUCCACACAGGGCCGUGGAUAGCCCUCAGUUACCUUCAGCGUCUCAAAAUGGCCCUAGCAGUUCUAGACCUUUCAUCUUUACUCCUCACUGGCAAGGAAAAGAAAGAUUUCUUUUGGUAGCAUCCAUGAAAGAACUAAUUUCAGUACCAGAAACCCUAGCAAACCUUUCUUCUGGUUCGUUGGUUCUGCUUGGGUUCUGUGUCUUGUCAUCAACCGAUUAGGUCCCACUUUAAAAUUUGGGGUGAGGUCAAUCAUAUCUAUGCCAUGCCAUGUGAUUAAAAAUGGUUCCUCCAAAACAAAAUUAGGGAGGGGAAGGAUGCUGGAAAGAAUGAAAUAUCAAAUGUCUACUAUAAGGCUCUGUGUUUGUGCAUACCGUUAAAACACAAUUUCCUAGAGUAAAAGAGCAAUUUGCAAUGCAAAGCAGUCAAAUCAUAUUAUCUGUACAUGUUGAGUGGUCAGCCAGACUCACACACUGGCUGAAAGGUUGGUUUUUUUGUUGUUUUUUUUUUUUUUUUUUUCUGAAGACGAGGCACAUAGUUCAUAAGGUGAAAUUUCAUGCCUGACACAGAGUGUUGCACCCAGGAGAUGGGCAGGUUUACUCAUAUUUAGUCAGAAUUACAAAUAGAUCAAGAAACUCCAGGUCGGCAGAACAAAGAAAUAUAAUAAUAUCAGUAUUUCUCUUAAAAAGCAUGGGAAUUAUGAGGAUUCCAGAGGCCCUCAGAUCAUGGAACAAAGAAGAACAUCCUAGAAUUAUGAAGCUAAGGUGAAAUCCUGAAUAUGCUGUCUCCUAAACUUACUCCACUAUAAGAAUUAUCUGGGGGAACUUGUUUAAAACACAGAUGUUCGAGUUCCACCCCAAACUUUCUGAAUCAGUAGCUCCAGGGGAAGGGCCUAAUAAUCUGUAUUUUCAAAAGCAAGCAAAUUGGGAAACAUCAAUUUACUCUACAUCUCCCACUCAUCUGUGAAAAUCCCAUAAAUUUGUAUUAGAACAGGGAGGAUACUGCUUGCAAUUGCCUCAUUUAUUCAUUCAGCAAAUAUUUAUUUUACAUUUAUUCUGUUCUAGAUACAAUGCUUCUAGGCAGUAAAUAUACAGAGUAUAGUCAGAUAAAGCCUCUGGAUUCAUGGAAUUUAUGGUGUUAUAGGGAACACAAUUAAUAAAUUAGAAUUACAUAGACACAUGAUUACUACAAAGGGGAAUUAUAGACUGCUUGAGGAAUGAUUAGGAGAGCUAGUGUCAUCAAGAGAGCCUUAACUACUUACCCAUUGGUGUUUUCACGCAUAUGAGAUACAACUGAAUGUCCAGUAGGAGAUGACAAACAUGAGAACGAGUCCAAGAUAGACCACACUCCACUGAUGACCAGGGAAGCAAACUGGCCAGAUCAUAGAGAUCCUAAGCAGAAUCUUGGUGUUGGUCCAUACAGAAAUGGAGAAGAGUAUUAAACCAUAUUUAAGAAGAAUAAUAAUAAUAAAAGGUAAGUGAUCAAAUGCCCUAAGCAAAUAAGCCCAUUAGUUCAAAAUAUUAUUAUUAUUAUUAUUUUUACUUUUCAUUUUCCUUGGGCAGCAAAAGAAUGACCACCGUCCUCCUCUGACCACCUUGCCACACCGUCUUGUUGUUAUUUAAAUUUGAUACAUAAUGAUAAAGCAUCAUCAAGGCACCUCAAUUCAUUUGACUUAAAACUCCCUGGUAUUCUAAAUGCAGUAGCAGUUUCCAACAUGUAGUCCUCUGACUGGGAUUUUAAUGAAAGGAUGUUCCUUUUCCUGUUUUUUUUUUUUAUUUGUUUGUUUGUGUGAUUCUGUGAAAAUAUUUAGCCAUUUUCAGCUUCUGAGAUAGUUUUCCAACUAUAAAAUAAAUAUCUGGUGUCAAGCAUUUCUGCUUCAGAAUGAAAUGAGAAGCGAAAGGCAGUAUCCAUUAAUUUAUAAUUAAACUGGUUGGGAAAGGGAAGCACAUGCUAGCAGAUUGGUCCUCGGUGACUGAUACGCUCCCUGCCACAGAGCCACUGCUGGAGGAUGAUUUAUUAUUUUUCCUAAUGUUCCUCAUUCUCGUUUCAGCCGAGAAGGUCACCCACAAAAGACAGAAUCCAGAAAAGAGGUGACACAGUUUGAC